rnacentral:rRNA from 1 species
CUACGAAGGUCCCAAGCGUUAUUCGGAAUCACUGGGCGUAAAGAGUACGUAGGCGGUUUGGUAAGUCAGGUGUGAAAUCCCGGAGCUCAACUCCGGAACUGCAUCCGAUACUGCCAGACUUGAGUAAUGGAGAGGCAGGUGGAAUUCUCGGUGUAGCAGUGAAAUGCGUGGAUAUCGAGAGGAAGACCAAUGGCGAAGGCAGCCUGCUGGACAUUUACUGACGCUGAGGUACGAAGGCUAGGGGAGCGAAAGGGAUUAGAAACCCCGGUAGUCC